rnacentral:lncRNA from 1 species
AAAAAAACUGGCAGUGGUGAGGUUUUUGAUCAAGCAGUAAAGAGCUGUUCUGCUCAAUGUUGCUUUAACCUUUUCUUUCCCAUGUUACUGCAUCAUUGCAAACUGCGUGAUAGGAGCCUCCUGAAUAUAAAUCUGCUAGAACAUAAGACGAAGCACUGAAUUGUUAAGCUAACUGCUUUUAGCAGGAUAACUUCAUAAUUAUUGCUUAUCACUACUUGCUAUCAUAUUGAGAUGAAUACUAGUCAUGUAUAGAUUAGGCUUCGGCAUGGAUAACAAAAUGUUUCUAGAUUGUUUUAUGCAAUAUAUUUUCCCUUCUACUGGGUGCUAGAGUGCAGAACAAUACAAACUGAGUUUUGCCGGGCUGCUGCAUUUCUGCAAUACUGCAUCUUAGUUCACCCAACUCUUCUUGAAGUAUAUUAAUAUUGAUUAUUCUAAUUAUUGAAAUAAAAUCUGUGCCUUCAAUGUGCCCAAAUAGAUGCCCUGCACUGUCUAGGCUGGUAAGUCGCAGCAGUCUACACUAGGGCAGGAGGGUGACAGUGGUUUCAGAUUAUUUUGAGUGAUUUCUGACCCCAAGGGAAAGUGUGGGACUGCGGGAGCCUGCGAGCGCUGGAAAGCACAGGGUUGUACGCUCUGCGGCAUGCUUCUGCAGACAGCGCUGCCGUGGUGGUGAGCCGUGGUGGUGGUCCAUGUCUGUACCAAAUUGGGUGCUGACGCCUCAGGGUUGCAAAGCUUCCAGAUGUUUGCUAACCCUCCAAUAGAGCAUGGUAAUAGUAGAGCAAGGUAGUACCGAUACAACAUAGCAUUGUAGCUUGCUUCUUAUUCAGUAGGAUGGUUUGUUGCCUGUCUG